AUCCAGCUGACGAUCCCCGAAUGGGAUGAAAUGUGCGUCCUGGAU
rnacentral:hammerhead_ribozyme from 1 species